rnacentral:tRNA from 1 species
GGCUUCAUAGUUAAAAUAAACACUAGUCUGCAGAAUUAGAAAUGCAUUCCUGCUGAGCCU